rnacentral:lncRNA from 1 species
UAAAACAGUGUAGGUCUUCAUCACAUCCAGAACAUUUAUUUAUAGGUCGAGCUUGUAUCUGUUAUAGAUGUGAAUCUGAAUAAAUGAGACGGAGUGGGAGGAGAGGUGAGUGGAGUUUAAUGAUUGAAUUAAAGCAAGAAUUUAAGAAAGGGAGAAACGUUCCAGAAAAUGUCAUUGGAGAAGAUGGCUAACGAUGAGUUACGCCGUCAAACUGUAGAAGAGCGUACAACUAAACCUAAACACAAGGCGAGCCAGAAAGAUGAAAGUAUUAAAGCCCAAUGAAUAAACCGAAAGCUCAGCUACUCCUCCGCAAGUUAGAAAUACAAAAAAAAAGCUCUCCGAAUUAGAAGCAAAAGGAAAAUGAAGAAACUCUUUCUCUGCUCGACACGUAUCGCAAAAUGGUGGUAUGAGGGAUGACGUGGC